rnacentral:hammerhead_ribozyme from 1 species
AUUCAGCUGACUAGUCCCAAAUAGGACGAAAUACGCUUUCUGGAU